rnacentral:rRNA from 1 species
AUUGAACGCUGGCGGCAGGCCUAACACAUGCAAGUCGAGCGAGCGGCGGACGGGUGAGGAAUGCCUAGGAAUCUGCCUGGUCGUGGGGGAUAACGUCCGGAAACGGGCGCUAAUACCGCAUCCUAUCAGCUGAGCCUGGGCCGGAUUAGCUAGUAGGUGGGGUAACGGCUCACCUAGGCGACGAUCACUAGCUGGUCUGAGAGGAUGACCAGCCACACUGGAACUGAGACACGGUCCAGACUCCUACGGGAGGCAGCAGUGGGGAAUAUUGCACAAUGGGCGCAAGCCUGAUGCAGCCAUGCCGCGUGUAUGAAGAAGGCCUUCGGGUUGUAAAGUACUUUCAGCGGGGAGGCGUUACCCGCAGAAGAAGCACCGGCUAACUCCGUGCCAGCAGCCGCGGUAAUUC